rnacentral:rRNA from 1 species
AACGAACGCUGGCGGCAGGCUUAACACAUGCAAGUCGAGCGCCCCGCAAGGGGAGCGGCAGACGGGUGAGUACCGCGUGGGAACGUACCUUUUGGUUCGGAACAACUCCGGGAAACUGGAGCUAAUACCGGAUAAGCCCUGACGGGGAAAGAUUUAUCGCCGAAAGAUCGGCCCGCGUCUGAUUAGCUAGUUGGUGAGGUAACGGCUCACCAAGGCGACGAUCAGUAGCUGGUCUGAGAGGAUGAUCAGCCACACUGGGACUGAGACACGGCCCAGACUCCUACGGGAGGCAGCAGUGGGGAAUAUUGGACAAUGGGCGCAAGCCUGAUCCAGCCAUGCCGCGUGAGUGAUGAAGGCCUUAGGGUUGUAAAGCUCUUUUGUCCGGGAAGAUAAUGACUGUACCGGAAGAAUAAGCCCCGGCUAACUUCGUG